AUCCAGAUGACGAGUCCCAGAUGGGACGAAACGCGCGGCCUAGAU
rfam:Schistosoma mattheei strain Denwood, Zambia genome assembly, scaffold: SMTD_contig0001555